GGGUGCGAUCAUACCAGCACCAAUGCACCGAAUCCCAUCAGAACUCCGCAGGUAAGCGUGCUUUGGCGAGAGUAGUAUUAGGAUGGGUGACCUCUUGGGAAGUCCUCGUGUUGCACCCC
rfam:Gossypium arboreum cultivar AKA8401 contig_48272_1, whole genome shotgun sequence.